rnacentral:rRNA from 1 species
AGAGUUUGAUCCUGGCUCAGGAUGAACGCUAGCUACAGGCUUAACACAUGCAAGUCGAGGGGCAGCAUGGUCUUAGCUUGCUAAGGCCGAUGGCGACCGGCGCACGGGUGAGUAACACGUAUCCAACCUGCCGUCUACUCUUGGACAGCCUUCUGAAAGGAAGAUUAAUACAAGAUGGCAUCAUGAGUCCACAUGUUCACAUGAUUAAAGGUAUUCCGGUAGACGAUGGGGAUGCGUUCCAUUAGAUAGUAGGCGGGGUAACGGCCCACCUAGUCUUCGAUGGAUAGGGGUUCUGAGAGGAAGGUCCCCCACAUUGGAACUGAGACACGGUCCAAACUCCUACGGGAGGCAGCAGUGAGGAAUAUUGGUCAAUGGGCGAGAGCCUGAACCAGCCAAGUAGCGUGAAGGAUGACUGCCCUAUGGGUUGUAAACUUCUUUUAUAAAGGAAUAAAGUCGGGUAUGCAUACCCGUUUGCAUGUACUUUAUGAAUAAGGAUCGGCUAACUCCGUGCCAGCAGCCGCGGUAAUACGGAGGAUCCGAGCGUUAUCCGGAUUUAUUGGGUUUAAAGGGAGCGUAGAUGGAUGUUUAAGUCAGUUGUGAAAGUUUGCGGCUCAACCGUAAAAUUGCAGUUGAUACUGGAUAUCUUGAGUGCAGUUGAGGCAGGCGGAAUUCGUGGUGUAGCGGUGAAAUGCUUAGAUAUCACGAAGAACUCCGAUUGCGAAGGCAGCCUGCUAAGCUGCAACUGACAUUGAGGCUCGAAAGUGUGGGUAUCAAACAGGAUUAGAUACCCUGGUAGUCCACACGGUAAACGAUGAAUACUCGCUGUUUGCGAUACACAGUAAGCGGUACAGCGAAAGCGUUAAGUAUUCCACCUGGGGAGUACGCCGGCAACGGUGAAACUCAAAGGAAUUGACGGGGGCCCGCACAAGCGGAGGAACAUGUGGUUUAAUUCGAUGAUACGCGAGGAACCUUACCCGGGCUCAAACGACGGGGGACUACCGGUGAAAGCCGGUAUCCAGCAAUGGCCGCCGUCGAGGUGCUGCAUGGUUGUCGUCAGCUCGUGCCGUGAGGUGUCGGCUUAAGUGCCAUAACGAGCGCAACCCCUAUCGACAGUUACUAACAAGUAGUGUUGAGGACUCUGUCGAGACUGCCAGCGCAAGCUGCGAGGAAGGCGGGGAUGACGUCAAAUCAGCACGGCCCUUACGUCCGGGGCGACACACGUGUUACAAUGGCAGGAACAGAAGGCAGCAACAUAGCAAUAUGAAGCCAAUCCCCAAACCCUGCCUCAGUUCGGAUUGGAGUCUGCAACCCGACUCCAUGAAGCUGGAUUCGCUAGUAAUCGCGCAUCAGCCAUGGCGCGGUGAAUACGUUCCCGGGCCUUGUACUCACCGCCCGUCAAG